rnacentral:rRNA from 1 species
ACGCUCGACACCUACGGGAGGUAGCAGUCGGGAAUAUUGCGCAAUGGAGGAAACUCUGACGCAGUGACGCCGCGUGCAGGAAGAAGGUUUUCGGAUUGUAAACUGCUUUAGACAGGGAAGAAAAAAGACAGUACCUGUAGAAUAAGCUCCGGCUAACUACGUGCCAGCAGCCGCGGUAAUCUGAGGCGGGCUGGCAAGGC